UACUUUUAAGAGCUAAAACUUUCCAGCCAAAUGAUAAAUUGAUUGAUUUGAAAGUUUUUUCCUAGUUCAAAGCUCUGAUUUCCACAGUCAAACCUCUCAGAACCAAAUUAUUAAAAUAAUCAAAUCAACCAAAACAUUUCACAGUUUUGGCAACACUUGCGGAAAAAAACAAUGUAACUGGCAGCUUACGACUAUCUGUCAGUGACAGUUGGAAAAAAGAAAAGAUUCUUUCACAAUCAUGGUCUCGGAAGGAAUUAACAUCGUCACUUUCAAGAUCGGGCCCGUAUUUCAAUAUGUUCCGUUUGGCCAGAACCUGUGUCGAAGACGUGUUCCCCGAACAUUACAUCUGGUUUGUGCCAACUGCCAGCCUCGCUUGGGGUGCUAAUCUGUCCGCUCAAAGCAUUUAUAGCACCGUUGGUCCGCAAAAGCAAUAGCGAAGAACCAACAUCGCUGAGCUGCCCUUCAAUGGUUUCUUCCGGCGAGUACACACCAUCAUUGUAUCGCUGCGUCACCGUCAUUGUAUGUAAAAAAAACUAGCAACAAAAAACUGCGCGCCGACAACCCCAAUAAUUAAUGAAAAUAAAUUAUAAUUAGGGAUAAUAAAAAGGAAUUUAAACAAAAUUUGUGGAACCUUAUUAUGACAUGAACUAACAAUUCCCAUGUAAAAUUGAGAAUGAACACAACUUGUUGUGUUAAAAGUAUUACUAGUUGAUUCUAGAGUAAAAUGCACAUAUCGAUUUGAGAGGAAAAUGUUAUUUUGAAAA